GAUGAACGCUGGCGGCGUGCCUAAUACAUGCAAGUCGAGCGAACAGAUGAGGAGCUUGCUCCUCUGACGUUAGCGGCGGACGGGUGAGUAACACGUGGAUAACCUACCUAUAAGACUGGGAUAACUUCGGGAAACCGGAGCUAAUACCGGAUAAUAUAUUGAACCGCAUGGUUCAAUAGUGAAAGACGGUUUUGCUGUCACUUAUAGAUGGAUCCGCGCCGCAUUAGCUAGUUGGUAAGGUAACGGCUUACCAAGGCAACGAUGCGUAGCCGACCUGAGAGGGUGAUCGGCCACCCUGGAACUGAGACACGGUCCCGACUCCUACGGGAGGCAGCAGUAGGGAAUCUUCCGCAAGGGGCGAAAGCCUGACGGAGCAACGCCGCGUGAGUGAUGAAGGUCUUCGGAUCGUAAAACUCUGUUAUUAGGGAAGAACAAAUGUGUAAGUAACUAUGCACGUCUUGACGGUACCUAAUCAGAAAGCCACGGCUAACUACGUG
rnacentral:rRNA from 1 species